CAUGAGGAGAAGGGGGGUUCAAACAAAUUCAUGGAUGCCACGUGGACCAAUAGGAGAUUGUCAUAGAGGUGGUGACACUGCAGCACAAAAUCCUUCCAACAAAUUUGGAGCAGCACAGGAGAAUGGACCUCUCAAACAAAUGAGCCAUUAUUAACAAGUACUUAUUAGAGAUCUUAUCGGCGUCAUAGACUCGCAUAUUUUUAAGGCAACCCUUUUCUCCAACAAACUCACCCAUUAUUUUGAUGAGGGGUUACGAGGAGGCAAACAUCAUAUUCACUUUAAGACGAUGACAAGAGGAGG